AGAGACGAGAAACGCUGGGGCGAACUGACAGGCCCAGAUUUAGGAGUCAUGACGAAGAUCCUGAGACACUUAUUCAGUCUGCAGAGAAGCCAAAAGGAGAUUCACACAAUGGCCCAAUGACUGAAGGCCUCUUUAUUUCGUGCUCUGCUGUUCGUGUAAAACCCAAUCGCAGAGCGGGUCUCAGGCGGCGCUCGCCUGCGUUUCUACUCUCAGCCAAUCAGAAAACCCGAGUCUUCGCAUUGGGGUCAAGCCCCCGCUGCGGCCCGCGUGCUGACGGGGAGGAAGCUUCCAGCUGUGCCUGGGUCUCUCGUGCGCCGAGGGCAGCCUGCGCCCGUGCUAAGCCCGCCUCCCGCGCGCCCGAGGGCCCGGGGUCCCGGAAGACGCGCGGGGGUGAGGCGGCCCUCGCGUCCGCCCGCCCCGCCACAGAUUGCCUCCGAAGUGGCCUGGCCGUGGAGCGCCGGCGAAAACCGAACUCCCGCCGGGCUCCCGCCCUCAGGACCCCCAGGGAGCGGCCAGGCGCCGCCUAUCACCCUGACCCACCGCACCUUGAGAGCGCUUUCACUGCGCCUCUUUUUUCUCCUCUACCAAUCUGGAAAGGAAGUGUCAUUUCAAACAUUGAGAAACAUUAUUCAACACUGGUUACCCAAUGACUCAGCUCACUCCUUAACCGCAGGCUUCCACAUCCUGCUGUCCCUUAAAAUUGCCUUCACAAAGGGCAGCCAAGAGCCCAGCUUUGGAGAGAUAGCCAGCUCCAACUACCCACUGGCAGGCAAUACGCAGGGCAGCUAGAUGGCAGAGAGACCUUGGACCUUCGGACCUUCAGGGAGCGGUUUUCCCUUCGGUGAUAUCUACCUUGCUAUGUUCGUGAUAUCUGUCUUGCUAUGUUAUUUUAAAGAUUAAGUGAGCUCUUACUUUACCGAGUAAAGUGCUUUGCUUAGCACACUGUCUGGAACUUAAAUGAGAAGUACUGACAAUAUAACCUACAAAAAUCCUAAACUAUUGCCUAACUGAGAAAAAGAGGGAGACAGGACAGCUAAGCAAAAGACGAGAAUAAAAAACACCCACAGCGGGAAAAACUGUAAAAUUAACUCAAUAGUAUUCUCUUUACUGUUUUUUGUUUUGUUUUUUGAUACGGAGUCUCGCUCUGUCGCCCAGGCUGGAGUGCAGUGGUGAGAUCUGGGCUCACUGCAACCUCUGCCUCCCGGGUUCAAGCGAUUCUCCUGCCUCAGCCUCCCUAGUAGCUGAGAUUACAGGCAUGCACCACCACGCCCGGCUAAUUUUUGUAUUUUCGGUAGAGAUGGGGUUUCCCCAUGUUGGCCAGGCUGGUCUCAAACUCUAACGUCAAGUGAUUCUCCCGCCUUGGCCUUCCAAAUUGCUGGGA
rnacentral:lncRNA from 1 species